GGGAGGGGAAAGUUUUCUAUAUCAUCAUAACGUUCAACCCAGACCACAUACACUUUGGUUUCAGGUCCCAUUGGUGGAAUGGUCCGGCCCUGAGGCACCCUCUUGGAUCUGGAAGUAGGGCUGAGCCGCUGAGAGGGAUUCAGAUUGUCGGUAUGAUUGGGGAAGAGUUCAAGUGUCAAGGAUGGCUGUUUUAAUAUUCCUGGCAGCAGAUCCAUGUUAGAGUCACUUUCUUGAUCAGAGACAUUGCUUUCCAAUGAAUCAGUUAGGGACUCCACUGGUGAUGGGACAACAAAAGCUAUUUCUGUCAGGGCAUCAGCAUAGUACAGCACCUUCUUCUGCCCAUUGAAGAUACUUGCUCCAACGUCUUCUGAAAUUAUUACAUCAUCUUGUUCAGGCCCCUCUUCAUCACUGCAGCUGUUGAUGGACCAGCUCGUAGAGACGUGCCCAGUCCACCCAGGAUGCUUCCCC
rnacentral:lncRNA from 1 species